rnacentral:lncRNA from 1 species
UUCCCUCUCCCCUCUCGUCUCACCCUCUCCUCCCUCUCCCUCUCCCGCCGCCGCCGCCGAGCGCCACAUCCGUCUCCCCCUCACGCUGCCGCCUCCACCUCCGCCGCCGUCGUGUCGCCGUCUCCGCCUACCCUCCUCCUCGUCGUCUCACCCUCUCGCGCCGCCGCCGCCUCCACCUCCGCCGCCGUCGUGUUGCUGUCUCCUCGCCCCUCCGUGUCCGCCUCUUCCUCGCGCCGUCGCCCGAGCGCAACCGUCUCCGCCUCCGCCACUGCCGUCGCUGUCGCCGAGUGCUGCCACUUCCGCCUUCGCC